rnacentral:rRNA from 1 species
UACGGAGGGUGCAAGCGUUGUUCGGAAUCAUUGGGCGUAAAGCGCGUGUAGGCGGCUUGGCAAGUCAGUUGUGAAAGCCCGGGGCCCAACCCCGGAACUGCAUCUGAAACUGCCUGGCUAGAGUCCCGGAGAGGAAGGCAGAAUUCCCGGUGUAGGGGUGAAAUCCGUAGAUAUCGGGAGGAAUACCAGCGGCGAAGGCGGCGACCUGGGUCAAUAUUGACGCUGAGGUGCGAAAGCGUGGGGAGCAAACAGG